rnacentral:rRNA from 1 species
GACGAACGCUGGCGGCGUGCUUAACACAUGCAAGUCGAACGAAGUGGCGAACGGGUGAGUAAUACGUGGGUAACCUGCCCUCCUUUUUGGGAUAAUCCUUGGAAACGGGGUCUAAUACCGAAUAAAGGGGGAUGGGCUCGCGGCCUAUCAGCUUGUUGGUGGUGUGUUGGCCUACCAAGGCGGUGACGGGUAGCCGGCCUGAGAGGGAGACCGGCCACAUUGGGACGGAGAGACGGCCCAGAGUGCUACGGGAGGCAGCAGUGGGGGAUAGUGCACAAUGGGGGAAAGCCUGAUGCAGCGACGCCGCGUGGGGGAUGAAGGCUUUCGGGUUGUAAACCUGGUUGGCUAUCGAACGGGGAGGGGGAGAAGAAGCGCCGGCUAACUACGUGCCAGCAGCCGCGGUAAUUC